UACGUAGGGGGCAAGCGUUGUCCGGAUUUAUUGGGCGUAAAGAGCGUGUAGGCGGCCAGGUAGGUCAGCUGUGAAAACUCGAGGCUCAACCUCGAGACGUCGGUUGAAACCAUCUGGCUAGAGUCCGGAAGAGGAGAGUGGAAUUCCCGGUGUAGCGGUGAAAUGCGCAGAUAUCGGGAAGAACACCCGUGGCGAAGGCGGCUCUCUGGGACGGUACUGACGCUGAGACGCGAAAGCGUGGGGAGCGAACGAGG
rnacentral:rRNA from 1 species